rnacentral:rRNA from 1 species
GACAGAGGUGCCAAGCGUUAGGCGGAAUCACUGGGCUUAAAGCGCGUGUAGGCGGGCCGCCACGUCGGGCGCUGAAAUCCCCCGGCUCAACCGGGGAACGGGCACCGAUACGGGCGGCCUGGAGGGGGGUAGGGGGGGCCGGAACUCACGGUGGAGCGGUGAAAUGCGUUGAGAUCGUGAGGAACGCCCGUGGCGAAAGCGGGCCCCUGGACCUUUACUGACGCUGAGACGCGAAAGCUAGGGGAGCGAACGGG